AACGAACGCUGGCGGCAUGCCUAACACAUGCGAGUCGAACGAGACCUUCGGGUCUAGUGGCGCACGGGUGCGUAACGCGUGGGAACCUGCCCUUAGGUUCGGAAUAACUCCCCGAAAGGGGUGCUAAUACCGGAUAAUGUCUUCGGACCAAAGAUUUAUCGCCUUUGGAUGGGCCCGCGUUGGAUUAGCUAGUUGGUAGGGUAAAAGCCUACCAAGGCGACGAUCCAUAGCUGGUCUGAGAGGAUGAUCAGCCACACUGGGACUGAGACACGGCCCAGACUCCUACGGGAGGCAGCAGUUGGGAAUAUUGGACAAUGGGCGAAAGCCUGAUCCAGCAAUGCCGCGUGAGUGAUGAAGGCCUUAGGGUUGUAAAGCUCUUUUACCCGGGAUGAUAAUGACAGUACCGGGAGAAUAAGCUCCGGCUAACUCCGUG
rnacentral:rRNA from 1 species